rnacentral:rRNA from 1 species
AGAACGAACGCUGGCGGCAGGCUUAACACAUGCAAGUCGAACGCUCGUAGCAAUACGGGAGUGGCAGACGGGUGAGUAACGCGUGGGAACAUACCCUCCGGUUCGGAAUAGCUCAGGGAAACUUGGGCUAAUACCGGAUACGCCCUUACGGGGAAAGAUUUAUUGCCGAAGGAACGGCCCGCGUCCGAUUAGCUUGUUGGUGAGGUAACGGCUCACCAAGGCGACGAUCGGUAGCUGGUCUGAGAGGAUGACCAGCCUCACUGGGACUGAGACACGGCCCAGACUCCUACGGGAGGCAGCAGUGGGGAAUAUUGGACAAUGGGCGCAAGCCUGAUCCAGCCAUGCCGCGUGGGUGAUGAAGGCCCUAGGGUUGUAAAGCCCUUUCGGCGGGGAAGAUAAUGACGGUACCCGCAGAAGAAGCCCCGGCUAACUUCGUGCCAGCAGCCGC